CAUAAGGAGAUGUUUUGAGUGUGUGCUGAUGUAGGUCAGUGCACCUAUGGGCUUCUCUCUCUCACAUGGGUGUGUCUAUGUCUUGUGCAAUAAUGCAGUCCUGGAGUCUGUGCAGGGUGUUGGCCGUGUCACGUCCAGCGUUACGAACGACAUUCGAGGAAAAUCUGGCCGUGAACUCUGCAGAGAACACAAACAUCACGCUGGAAUGUGCGGGAAAAAACCUUUACAAUGGAAUUGCCUCACGGCGGGUCAAAGGUCAAGGCUGUCCAGCCAAUCAUCACACAGCAUAGAAAAGCAUGGAGAGGAACGUAAAGAAACUAAAAGAACUGGUGCACGUCUCGAACAAUUCGUGCUUAGAGGUUUUUUAGAAUUAUUAUUUUUUUUUUCAUAGCCUGAAUUGUGUUGGAUUUGUUUACAGCGCCUGAGACUAAAGGCACAGCUGUACACUGAAAGUCCAGGAAAAGAGAAAAGAAUGUCGCUUGUGGAGUUUGAUUGUUCAUUUGAAGUCUUUGAACAGAAAUAGUAAAGAAAACGUCCUUCGUGGUUCACGACUGCAAACACUGAGCAGGUCACAUGAUCACCCAUAAAUAAAUAAAUAAGAAAGUAAGUAAGUAAAUAAAUAAAUAAAUAAAUAAAACAACCAUAAUUCCUGCUAAAGGCAUGGGCGAUCUAAUUUACACAAUAUAACAUUAAUUUACACAACAUAACAUUAAGUAGGUGAGAGUAAUGCCGGAGAUUACAUUAUGGAUCCAUAAAUCUAUUAAGAGUUAGAUUUAAUGUUGUUUAAUGACAAUCAGAAUCACAAUCUGGUUUAUUGGCCAAGUGUGUUGAUGUUUACACACACAAGGAAUUCGGUUCCAGCUGUUUGUGACUCUCAAAAGUACAGACAUAAAUAACACUAUACUAUACAAUACAGACAUAAAUAACACUAUACUAUACAAUACACACAUAAAUAACACUAUACUAUACAAUACACACAUAAAUAACACUAUACUAUACAAUACACACAUAAAUAACACUAUACUAUACAAUACACACAUAAAUAACACUAUACUAUACAAUACACACAUAAAUAACACUAUACUAUACAAUACAGACAUAAAUAACACUAUACUACACAAUACACACAUAAAUAACACUAUACUAUACAAUACACACAUAAAUAACACUAUACUAUACAAUACACACAUAAAUAACACUAUACUAUACAAUACAGACAUAAAUAACACUAUACUAUACAAUACACACAUAAAUAACACUAUACUAUACAAUACACACAUAAAUAACACUAUACUAUACAAUACAGACAUAAAUAACACUAUACUAUACAAUACACACAUAAAUAACACUAUACUAUACAAUACACACAUAAAUAACACUAUACUAUACAAUACACACAUAAAUAACACUAUACUAUACAA